rnacentral:rRNA from 1 species
UACAGAGGGUGCGAGCGUUAAUCGGAAUUACUGGGCGUAAAGCGCACGUAGUCGGCUUUGCAAGUCGGGUGUGAAAUCCCCGGGCUCAACCUGGGAACUGCAUCCGAGACUGCAUUGCUAGAGUAUGGGAGAGGGAAGCGGAAUUUCUGGUGUAGCAGUGAAAUGCGUAGAUAUCAGGAGGAACACCUGCGGCGAAGGCGGGUUGCUGGGCUGACACUGACGCUGAUGCGCGAAAGCCAGGGGAGCGAACGGG